AUGAGAACGGCUAACACCAAAACAUUUCAGGGUCGGGCAGUUCGGAGGAAAAAUUUGACUGUAGAGCGACAUGCAAGUAAAAAUUACACAAGAGCUAUGUUUGAGGAGUUUGGUCGGCUACUGAUUGAAGGAACAUCUUACAAUGUUACCGAGGUGGAGAAGAUGGAGAAGUAUAUUACAACACACAACAAUGCGUCAAGAAGAGAGAAGUGGAGCAGGGUUGAGUACUCACGGUCAGUGAUGACCGGUCCGAGUUUACAUGCGAGUGUGGACAAUUCGAGCACACUGGAAUGUUGUGCAGCCAUGUUUUGCGGGUCAUGA
rnacentral:rRNA from 1 species